CCUACGGGAGGCUGCAGUGGGGAAUAUUGCGCAAUGGGCGAAAGCCUGACGCAGCGACGCCGCGUGCGGGAUGAAGGUCCUCGGAGCGUAAACCUCUGUCAGCAGGGAAGAACGGUCACUGUGCUAAUCAGCAGUGAAUUGACGGUACCUGCAAAGGAAGCACCGGCUAACUCCGUGCCAGCAGCCGAGGUAAUACGGAGGGUGCGAGCGUUAAUCGGAAUUACUGGGCGUAAAGCGCUCGUAGGCGGUAUGUCAAGUCAAGGGUGAAAUCCCCGCGCUCAACGAGGGAACUGCCUUUCAAACUGGCAAACUUGAGUGUGUGGGAGGUUAGUGGAAUUCGAGGUGUAGGAGUGAAAUCCGUAGAUAUCUGGAGGAACAUCAGUGGCGAAGGCGACUAUCGGGCACAUAACUGACGCUGAGGAGCGAAGGCGUGGGUAGCGAACAGGAUUAGAUACCCCAGUAGUC
rnacentral:rRNA from 1 species